GUGGGCACUGAUGUAGAGUUGUGGGAAUCUUAUUACAAUUAGUAUUACCAACAGUAAAUUUCAUCCGUCAGCUGGUGGUGUUACAAGUUUGUUAUAUUCGGCAAUAGACAAAUUAUUGAGUCUGAAACAGACAUUUUAGUUAGCAUCGUCCAUUUGAUGGAACCAUGUGCGACUGUGACCACCAACAUAAUAACAUGAUCAGAGCCUUUCCCACAAUAAUUGUUUUUUGUUUGUUUCUUGAGGAAUUGUUGUUUUUUCUUGAACUCUAUCUUGAGUUUUAAUGAACACAUCUAUAUCUCCUGAACAUUUGAGAUAUUCAGUGGUUUAUCUAUUACGUACAUAGCACAACACAAUUUCAUUUCACUCUUCAAUUCAUUACCAACUUUGACACUUAAUUUAUUUUCUGAUACUUGAAUAUGGAAUAUUAAUUUUAUAUACAUGAUUGACAAAAAGAGAUACAGA
rnacentral:lncRNA from 1 species